rnacentral:rRNA from 1 species
GUCUACAGUCAUGCCACCCUGAACGUGCCCGAUCUCGUCUGAAGCUAAGUAGAGUCAGGCCUGGUUAGUACUUAGAUGGGAGACCACCUAGGAAUACCAGAUGCUGUAGGCA